UACGGAGGGGGCUAGCGUUGUCCGAAGUUACUGGGCGUAAAGGGCGCGUAGGCGGCCCUGUUUGUCAGGCGUGAAAGCCCUGGGCUCAACCUGGGAAUUGCGCUUGGGACGGCGGGGCUUGAGAUCGGGAGAGGAGAGUGGAAUUCCCAGUGUAGAGGUGAAAUUCGUAGAUAUUGGGAAGAACACCGGUGGCGAAGGCGGCUCUCUGGACCGAGACUGACGCUGAGGCGCGAAGGCCAGGGGAGCAAACGGG
rnacentral:rRNA from 1 species